UGCAGGUGAAUGUGUAUGAUGUUGAAUCGGUGAGAAAUGUUGCAGGUGUAUUGAAUCGGCGAUAUAUAGAUAUAUGUAUUGUAGGUGUGAUAAAUCGGUGAGAGGUAUUCCAGAUGAAUCAAAUAUUGGUGACAGGUAUUCCAACUGUGUUAAAUAUGUGAAUAUAUUUCAGGUGUGGAGAAUAGGUGAGAAAUAUCGUGUGUGUUGUCAAAUAGACAUGAGACAUUCUCUUGGUGUAUGGAAUAGAUAGGAGAUGUUGCAGGUAUGUCUAAUAGGUAAUAUAGUAAUAUAUAUAUUUUUUUUCCAGGUGUGUCAAAUAAGUGCGAGAUAUCCAGCACACCUGCCGAUACGUGUGCGAGGUAUGCAAUUGGCUUUUGUGUUCAUUGUAUUCCUGACAGGGGUUGAAAUCCUCAUGCAUGUCCAGGGCAAUGUUGGAGCCUUUUCCGGUGUAUGGAUGACAACAGCACUGGUCAUGACACAAGACUCGCGACUCGAGACGAUGUCCCAACAAGGCGAAAUGGUGUGUUCAGCACAACAGGCCUCUUACAUAUUGAAUGAGGCUCAGACGAGGUUCUCUUUUAUAUGCGUCGCAUUGGAAUCGACUUCCCAAGGGAGCACGUUCUUCACAAAGAUUCAUCUUUCUUUAUUCCUAACAGCUUGUGACUUGAAUGGAAAUGGUGGUUGUGGCAAUGUGAAACAUUCCUUAUCCGUGGCUCAUAGGGGGGCCUUUGGAGUGGUCGCGACACUCCGUCGUGGAGUGAGAGACUGUGAGAGGACCCAUUCCCGACGUAUUGGGAAACACCCGGUGCUCUCGCGAGUGCUGUGUAGUCAUGUUCAAACGGUAUUGUCUUUUUACGCAUUUUCCUGGUUAGAAAAUGUUGAAAGAUCAAACUCUUAUCCCGUCAGUCACGUGUUCUUAAACUCGUUUCAAAGUUGUUUAACCAAUGAAAUGUCACGCGAAGCUGUUAUACGUGCACCUUGAGUGAAAGUUUAUGAUUCAUCUUGCUUACUUCGGGGUGAAAGUACUUUCACAGAGAUUAAAACAAGUAAUUAAAAAUAAAGAGGAAACUUUUAAACUUUGUGUAAGAUUGUUUGGAGGAUUAUGUUUUUUUUUUUGUUGUUUUUUUUUU
rnacentral:lncRNA from 1 species